rnacentral:rRNA from 1 species
AUACGAAAGGUGCAAGCGUUGUUCGGAUUUACUGGGCGUAAAGAGAGUGUAGGUUGUUUAUUAAGUCGGAUGUGAAAUCCCGGGGCUCAACCUCGGAACUGCAUUCGAUACUGGUAGACUAGAGUUCGGGAGGGGUAAGCGGAAUUCCGUGUGUAGCAGUGAAAUGCGUAGAUAUACGGAGGAACACCUGAGGCGAAGGCGGCUUACUGGACCGAUUCCGACACUGAGACUCGAAAGCGUGGGUAGCAAACAGGAUUAGAAACCCUAGUAGUCC